rnacentral:hammerhead_ribozyme from 1 species
AUCCAGCUGAAGAGUCCCAAACAGAACGAAACGCGUGUCCUGAAU